GGCUCAGGAUGAACGCUAGCUACAGGCUUAACACAUGCAAGUCGAGGGGCAUCAGGAACAAGCUUGCUUGUUUGCUGGCGACCGGCGCACGGGUGAGUAACGCGUAUCCGACCUACCCAUAACUCGGGCACAGCCGCUCGAAAGAGCGAUUGAUUCCCGAUAUGUCAUAUAAGUCUAUUAUAUGAUGAAAGAUUUAUCGGUUAUGGAUGGGGAUGCGUAAGAUUAGGUAGUAGGCGGGGUAACGGCCCACCUAGCCGACGAUCUUUAGGGGUUCUGAGAGGAAGGUCCCCCACACUGGAACUGAGACACGGUCCAGACUCCUACGGGAGGCAGCAGUGAGGAAUAUUGGUCAAUGGUCUGACGACUGAACCAGCCAUGCCGCGUGAAGGUGACGGCCCUAUGGGUCUUAAACUUCUUUUGUAAGGGAGCAAUAAGGUGUACGUGUACAUCGAUGAGAGUACCUUACGAAUAAGCAUCGGCUAACUCCGUG
rnacentral:rRNA from 1 species